UUCCCACGCCGGGAGUCGAACCCGGGCCGCUUGGGUGAGAGCGAAGCAUCCUCACCGCUAUACCACAUGGGA
rnacentral:tRNA from 13 species